rnacentral:rRNA from 1 species
GACAGGGGAUACAAGCGUUACUCGGAAUCACUGGGCGUAAAGCGUCUGUAGGUUUUCCGGAAAGUCUGAGGUCAAAUGUCGGGGCUCAACCCCGUCAACGUCUUGGAAACUCCCGGAAUUGAGCAAUAGAGAGGCACCUGGAAUGCCAUGUGUAGGAGUAAAAUCCGUAGAUAUAUGGUAGAACGCCAAAAGUGAAGACAGGGUGCUAGCUAUUCGCUGACACUGAGAGACGAAAGCGUGGGGAGCAAAGGGG